rnacentral:rRNA from 1 species
AACGAACGCUGGCGGCAGGCCUAACACAUGCAAGUCGAACGCUCGUAGCAAUACGAGAGUGGCAGACGGGUGAGUAACACGUGGGAACCUUCCCUAUGGUUCGGAAUAGCCCAGGGAAACUUGGGGUAAUACCGGAUAAGCCCUUACGGGGAAAGAUUUAUCGCCAUUGGAUGGGCCCGCGUCAGAUUAGCUAAUUGGUGGGGUAACGGCGUACCAAGGCGACGAUCCGUAGCUGGUCUGAGAGGAUGAUCAGCCACACUGGGACUGAGACACGGCCCAGACUCCUACGGGAGGCAGCAGUGGGGAAUAUUGGACAAUGGGCGCAAGCCUGAUCCAGCCAUGCCGCGUGAGUGACGAAGGCCUUAGGGUUAUAAAGCUCUUUUGGCGGGGAAGAUAAUGACGGUACCCGCAGAAUAAGCUCCGGCUAACUUCGUGCCAGCAGCCGCCGUAAGAC